rnacentral:rRNA from 1 species
GACGAACGCUGGCGGCGUGCUUAACACAUGCAAGUCGAACGGAAAGGCCCUGCUUUUGUGGGGUGCUCGAGUGGCGAACGGGUGAGUAACACGUGAGUAACCUACCCUUGACUUUGGGAUAACUUCAGGAAACUGGGGCUAAUACCGGAUAGGAGCUCCUGCUGCAUGGUGGGGGUUGGAAAGUUUCGGCGGUUGGGGAUGGACUCGCGGCUUAUCAGCUUGUUGGUGGGGUAGUGGCUUACCAAGGCUUUGACGGGUAGCCGGCCUGAGAGGGUGACCGGCCACAUUGGGACUGAGAUACGGCCCAGACUCCUACGGGAGGCAGCAGUGGGGAAUAUUGCACAAUGGGCGGAAGCCUGAUGCAGCAACGCCGCGUGCGGGAUGACGGCCUUCGGGUUGUAAACCGCUUUCGCCUGUGACGAAGCGUGAGUGACGGUAAUGGGUAAAGAAGCACCGGCUAACUACGUGCCAGCAGCCGCGGUGAUACGUAGGGUGCGAGCGUUGUCCGGAUUUAUUGGGCGUAAAGGGCUCGUAGGUGGUUGAUCGCGUCGGAAGUGUAAUCUUGGGGCUUAACCCUGAGCGUGCUUACGAUACGGGUUGACUUGAGGAAGGUAGGGGAGAAUGGAAUUCCUGGUGGAGCGGUGGAAUGCGCAGAUAUCAGGAGGAACACCAGUGGCGAAGGCGGUUCUCUGGGCCUUUCCUGACGCUGAGGAGCGAAAGCGUGGGGAGCGAACAGGCUUAGAUACCCUGGUAGUCCACGCUGUAAACGGUGGGUGCUAGGUGUGGGGUCCAUUCCACGGGUCCCGUGCCGUAGCUAACGCUUUAAGUACCCCGCCUGGGGAGUACGGCCGCAAGGCUAAAACUCAAAGGAAUUGACGGGGCCCCGCACAAGCGGCGGAGCAUGCGGAUUAAUUCGAUGCAACGCGUAGAACCUUACCUGGGUUUGACAUGGAUCGGGAGUGCUCAGAGAUGGGUGUGCCUCUUUUGGGGUCGGUUCACAGGUGGUGCAUGGCUGUCGUCAGCUCGUGUCGUGAGAUGUUGGGUUAAGUCCCGCAACGAGCGCAACCCUUGUUCACUGUUGCCAGCACGUUAUGGUGGGGACUCAGUGGAGACCGCCGGGGUCAACUCGGAGGAAGGUGGGGAUGACGUCAAGUCAUCAUGCCCCUUAUGUCCAGGGCUUCACGCAUGCUACAAUGGCUGGUACAGAGAGUGGCGAGCCUGUGAGGGUGAGCGAAUCUCGGAAAGCCGGUCUCAGUUCGGAUUGGGGUCUGCAACUCGACCUCAUGAAGUCGGAGUCGCUAGUAAUCGCAGAUCAGCAACGCUGCGGUGAAUACGUUCCCGGGGCU